AUUGAACGCUGGCGGCAGGCUUAACACAUGCAAGUCGAGCGGAGAUGAGGUGCUUGCACCUUAUCUUAGCGGCGGACGGGUGAGUAAUGCUUAGGAAUCUGCCUAUUAGUAGGGGACAACAUUCCGAAAGGAAUGCUAAUACCGCAUACGUCCUACGGGAGAAAGCAGGGGAUCUGCGGACCUUGCGCUAAUAGAUGAGACUAAGUCGGAUUAGCUAGUUGGUGGGGUAAAGGCCUACCAAGGCGACGAUCUGUAGCGGGUCUGAGAGGAUGAUCCGCCACACUGGGACUGAGACACGGCCCAGACUCCUACGGGAGGCAGCAGUGGGGAAUAUUGGACAAUGGGGGGAACCCUGAUCCAGCCAUGCCGCGUGUGUGAAGAAGGCCUUAUGGUUGUAAAGCACUUUAAGCGAGGAGGAGGCUACUGAGACUAAUACUCUUGGAUAGUGGACGUUACUCGCAGAAUGAGCACCGGCUAACUCUGUGCCAGCCGCCGCCGUAAUAC
rnacentral:rRNA from 1 species